AUGAACGCUAGCUACAGGCUUAACACAUGCAAGUCGAGGGGCAUCAGGGUGUAGCAAUACACCGCUGGCGACCGGCGCACGGGUGAGUAACACGUAUCCAACCUGCCCUUUACUCGGGGAUAGCCUUUCGAAAGAAAGAUUAAUACCCGAUGGUAUAACAUGACCUCCUGGUUUUGUUAUUAAAGAAUUUCGGUAGAGGAUGGGGAUGCGUUCCAUUAGGCAGUUGGCGGGGUAACGGCCCACCAAACCUUCGAUGGAUAGGGGUUCUGAGAGGAAGGUCCCCCACAUUGGAACUGAGACACGGUCCAAACUCCUACGGGAGGCAGCAGUGAGGAAUAUUGGUCAAUGGGCGAGAGCCUGAACCAGCCAAGUAGCGUGAAGGAUGACCGCCCUAUGGGUUGUAAACUUCUUUUAUAUGGGAAUAAAGGGUGCCACGUGUGGCAUUUUGUAUGUACCAUAUGAAUAAGGAUCGGCUAACUCCGUGCCAGCAGCCGCGGUAAUACGGAGGAUCCGAGCGUUAUCCGGAUUUAUUGGGUUUAAAGGGAGCGUAGGUGGACAUGUAAGUCAGUUGUGAAAGUUUGCGGCUCAACCGUAAAAUUGCAGUUGAUACUGCGUGUCUUGAGUACAGUAGAGGUGGGCGGAAUUCGUGGUGUAGCGGUGAAAUGCUUAGAUAUCACGAAGAACUCCGAUUGCGAAGGCAGCUCACUGGACUGCAACUGACACUGAUGCUCGAAAGUGUGGGUAUCAAACAGGAUUAGAUACCCUGGUAGUCCACACAGUAAACGAUGAAUACUCGCUGUUUGCGAUAUACAGUAAGCGGCCAAGCGAAAGCAUUAAGUAUUCCACCUGGGGAGUACGCCGGCAACGGUGAAACUCAAAGGAAUUGACGGGGGCCCGCACAAGCAGCGGAGCAUGUGGUUUAAUUCGACGCAACGCGAAGAACCUUACCAGGUCUUGACAUCCGGCUAACGAAGUAGAGAUACAUUAGGUGCCCUUCGGGGAAAGCCGAGACAGGUGGUGCAUGGUUGUCGUCAGCUCGUGCCGUGAGGUGUCGGGUUAAGUCCCAUAACGAGCGCAACCCCUACCGUUAGUUGCCAUCAGGUGAAGCUGGGCACUCUGGCGGGACUGCCGGUGUAAGCCGAGAGGAAGGUGGGGAUGACGUCAAAUCAGCACGGCCCUUACGUCCGGGGCUACACACGUGUUACAAUGGGGGGUACAGAAGGCCGCUACACAGCGAUGUGAUGCCAAUCCCUAAAGCCCCUCUCAGUUCGGAUCGAAGUCUGCAACCCGACUUCGUGAAGCUGGAUUCGCUAGUAAUCGCGCAUCAGCCACGGCGCGGUGAAUACGUUCCCGGGCCUUGUACACACCGCCCGUCAAGCCAUGGGAGCCGGGGGUACCUGAAGUACGUAACCGCAAGGAGCGUCCUAGGGUAAAACUGGUGACUGGGGCU
rnacentral:rRNA from 1 species